rnacentral:rRNA from 1 species
GGGUUGUGAGGUUAAGCGACUAAGCGUACACGGUGGAUGCCCUGGCAGUCAGAGGCGAUGAAGGACGUGCUAAUCUGCGAUAAGCGUCGGUAAGGUGAUAUGAACCGUUAUAACCGGCGAUUUCCGAAUGGGGAAACCCAGUGUGUUUCGACACACUAUCAUUAACUGAAUCCAUAGGUUAAUGAGGCGAACCGGGGGAACUGAAACAUCUAAGUACCCCGAGGAAAAGAAAUCAACCGAGAUUCCCCCAGUAGCGGCGAGCGAACGGGGAGCAGCCCAGAGCCUGAAUCAGUGUGUGUGUUAGUGGAAGCGUCUGGAAAGGCGCGCGAUACAGGGUGACAGCCCCGUACACAAAAAUGCACAUUCUGUGAGCUCGAUGAGUAGGGCGGGACACGUGGUAUCCUGUCUGAAUAUGGGGGGACCAUCCUCCAAGGCUAAAUACUCCUGACUGACCGAUAGUGAACCAGUACCGUGAGGGAAAGGCGAAAAGAACCCCGGCGAGGGGAGUGAAAAAGAACCUGAAACCGUGUACGUACAAGCAGUGGGAGCACAGAGCAAUCUGUGUGACUGCGUACCUUUUGUAUAAUGGGUCAGCGACUUAUAUUCUGUAGCAAGGUUAACCGAAUAGGGGAGCCGAAGGGAAACCGAGUCUUAACUGGGCGUUAAGUUGCAGGGUAUAGACCCGAAACCCGGUGAUCUAGCCAUGGGCAGGUUGAAGGUUGGGUAACACUAACUGGAGGACCGAACCGACUAAUGUUGAAAAAUUAGCGGAUGACUUGUGGCUGGGGGUGAAAGGCCAAUCAAACCGGGAGAUAGCUGGUUCUCCCCGAAAGCUAUUUAGGUAGCGCCUCGUGAAUUCAUCUCCGGGGGUAGAGCACUGUUUCGGCAAGGGGGUCAUCCCGACUUACCAACCCGAUGCAAACUGCGAAUACCGGAGAAUGUUAUCACGGGAGACACACGGCGGGUGCUAACGUCCGUCGUGAAGAGGGAAACAACCCAGACCGCCAGCUAAGGUCCC